GCCUCCUUAGCUCAGCCUGGCUAGAGCGCUCGCCUUGUAAGCGAGAGGUCGGGGUUUCAAAUACCCCAGGGGGCU
rnacentral:tRNA from 1 species